rnacentral:rRNA from 1 species
UACGUAGGGUGCAAGCGUUGUCCGGAAUUAUUGGGCGUAAAGAGCGUGUAGGCGGCCAGGUAGGUCUGCUGUGAAAACUCGGGGCUUAACCUCGAGCUGUCGGCGGAAACCAUCUGGCUAGAGUCCGGAAGAGGAGAAUGGAAUUCCCGGUGUAGCGGUGAAAUGCGCAGAUAUCGGGAAGAACACCCGUGGCGAAGGCGGCUCUCUGGGACGGUACUGACGCUGAGACGCGAAAGCGUGGGGAGCGAACAGG